CUGCAAUGAUGACUUUCUUAGGACACCUUUGGAAUAAAUCAUGAAAAUACUAUUACUUCUGAGCAGC